rnacentral:lncRNA from 1 species
GAUAUUGUGUGAAUGUAGCUUAGGGUCACAACAUGUUGCACUAAACUCAAUAUUCAUGAUAGUUUUAAGUUUCCUUCUGCUAAUCUUCUUCAUUCCUAAUCAUAUAUUUGUGAUGUAACCAGAUUUCACCUUAUAAAUGAUGCAAAGAUCCUGAUUGUUGAUUGUAUCAGCUAAACCUCUUUUUUUUCCUUAAUUUGAUGGCCAUUUGGAUUUUAGAAUUUGGAUUUCAUAGACCUUUUUUCAUUCAAUCUUUUCAAUUCUUUGUUGUUUAUUCUUUCUUCAGAAAUGCAAGUGAUACGUUUUGAUUUUACAAUGAAGUUCAUGGGAGCCACAAGAUAGGAGGUCCAUUUUAUAAGUGGAAUCUUGAAGGGUUUACCUCCAAGAAUUCUCUUCUUUUGGCCGAACAUGUUGACAUUAGGAUUGAAAAAGGGGACUGCCGGAAAUGUGUCCAACCUCUUCCUCUGAUGACUUCAGCACUUCAAAUUCAAAAGCCAGGG